GUCGCUUCCCCAACCGAACGCUAACCAGCGUUCAUUUUCUUUGGUACCAUGUUGAGGUUUAGAUGGGCAUAUCAAUGUUACGGUGCAUUUCUUUUUAAAAUGGACGAUCCAUGAGCAUCGGAUAAGUAGUUCAUGAAAAAAGGACAUCAUGGGUUGAAAUUCUAUAACUAUAAUAGAACGAUGACUAAUGCGACUAUCCAGAUGAAUAUUUGAGUUCACAAGUUCAUAUGAAUACACGAUGUAGCUUAAAUAUUAAGAUGAUCGAGUAGCAGCCAUCUUCCUGUUCCUGGUCAAAAUUCAGCGAGGAAUUCAUGACAUAAAUAGAAAUUUUUUUUUUCCAACUGUAAUGAAAGAAUAAAAAAUUUUUGUAAAAAUGAAUAAAAUUCACAUUUAAUUUUAAA